GUGCCCAUGGUGUAACGGUUAACACAGCGGUUUGUGGUACCGCUAAUGAGGGUUCGAUUCCCUCUGGGCACCCCA
rnacentral:tRNA from 3 species